GAAAGAUCUGAGUACUUCUUCCACCAGGGACUACAGUCACAUUAAAAGUCACAGCUGGCUAAUCCAGACCCACAUCUGACAGAUUUGACAGGACACAUUUAACAUUACUGGGGAUUUUUCCAGACUCGUGGAACAAAGUCAUGGCCUCAGCAUCCCCAGGUGUGAACCGCACCACGGGGCUCUGACUUCCUGUCCAAACCAACAAUCAGGGAUGAUCAAAAACAGCAGGACGCUCUCACACACCUGUCUGAAGUUCGUACGAGGCUUCAGAGGUGCUUCGCGAUCAUGACCUCCUCGAUGUGAUCGGUGUAAACCUCGUCAUCCCGACGUUCUUGGGGCCAAACGGACAGUUCAAUCAAGACGAUGUAACACCCACACAACACGUCGGCCACUUGGAAAUCCACAUAGAGAGGGCGAUCAGUCGCAUCAAAGAGUACCGUAUCUUUGAUGACGUUGUUCCCUCAGCACUUUGUGGUUCAGUCAACCAGCUGUGGACGGUCUGUGCUCUGCUGACAAACUUUCAAGGACCUCUGCUUUAAUUCUGUGGACGAUAUUAGACCCACGCGGAUAUAUCUAUAACUGGUCGGAGACCCCGGGGUGGACCCAGAACACGCUGGAGAGAUUAUCUAGUGCCUCAUCUGGUUUGGAAACACCUCUCGAUCCCCCAGGAGGAGCUGGAAAACGUUGCUGGGGAGAGGGACGUCUGGACCACCUUGUUUAGUCUGUUGCCACCGCGACCCGGCCCCCCGAUAAGAGGCAGAAAAUGGAUGGAUGGAUAUAUCGAUAUCCGCGUAUGUUUCAGCUGAUUACUAACAGGAAACUGAAGUGCAGAAAUGCCAAAGAGACAAUCUCCAUUGCAUAGUUUGUCCACUAGAGAGCACAGAUUGUUUAUACACUGUAAAAUGUCAAACUCAGUGCAUAACCUUGUCACAGUUCUUUAAUAACCGAAAUUAAGGAUCCUUAUCAGAAAUGCUUGUUCAUGUUCUGCGUUUAGGUAAAACAAAUUUACAUGUUGGCUGAUAUAUUAUCAGGUGAUUUUAAACUCUUAAAUAUUAUAUUGAUAGGGAAUCUGUCUAUUGGUCGGCUCUAAUGCAGAUAACCAAACAGUGAGUCUGUCAUUACAAAUGCACAUACGGCUCGCAACUAACUAUUAUUUUCAUUAUCGAUUAAUCUUCUGAUUAUUUUCUCGAUUAGUCGUUUUGUCCUCCAAAUGUCACAAAAUCGUGAAAAAUGAAUCUCCCCAUAGACCAAAAUGAUGUCUUGUUUUUUUUUUUUUCUGACCGACAGUCCGAAACCCAAAGAUAUUGAGUUUACAAUGAUAUAAAGCAGCAAUAAGAAGCAUACCCUCAUAUUCAUGAAGCGGGAGCCAGAGAAAGUCUGGCAAAUGACUGAAAUGAUUCAUCAAAUGUCAAAAUAGUUGACGGUUAAUUUUCUGACAAUCGGCUAUUUGUUGCAGCUCUAAAUGCAUGUUUUCUGGCCAAGCAUAGUUAAAAACCACAGAGCUUUUAAUUUACGAUCUAGCGUAGAUCCCAGCAUUUGCACAGAGAACAAAUAUAUCAGGUUGAAAUGUUGGGAAUGCACAAGAAAUCCAGAAUAUUUCUAUAUAGCUUCAAUGAAGUGUUGGAAAAAACCAUGAUACAGAAUAUAUAGUGUACGUGUGAUACUGUCAUACAGUGUGGACAUAUGUUGCUUUCUAACUUUAGAGUAGCAUAAUGACAAGUUUAAAGACUAAGGCUGUUGUUGUUUUAUAUUUUUCUUAUUGUCACCAAAGGCUAAUGGAUACACACACAACGCUGUUAGCCGGAUCAAUUCAUUG